rnacentral:rRNA from 1 species
UACGAAGGGGGCUAGCGUUGCUCGGAAUCACUGGGCGUAAAGCGCACGUAGGCGGACUCUUAAGUCGGUGGUGAAAUCCUGGAGCUCAACUCCAGAACUGCCUUCGAUACUGAGAGUCUCGAGUCCGAGAGAGGUGAGUGGAACUGCGAGUGUAGAGGUGAAAUUCGUAGAUAUUCGCAAGAACACCAGUGGCGAAGGCGGCUCACUGGCUCGGUACUGACGCUGAGGUACGAAAGCGUGGGGAGCAAACAGG